CCCCUUCCCUUUUCCCUCCCCCUCCCCCUCUGGAUCUACCGAUACUCUUCUUGGAUAAGCCAGUCAUUCCCUAGAAAGGACACAUCAGAGCUCGUGAGUUACAGAUUACCCCUGCCUGUCAAGGCAAGACACUGCACCUGGCCAGGCCUCUGGGAUUGGAUGCAGAAUAAAGAAGAAGCCUGUUGGGGAACACAGAGCUCUAGAGUACCAGGCCCUGUAUCCCUGAGGAUCAUCAUGUACAUCUGUGUGGCAUCAGCCUGCUCGGCAUGGCUUGGGAGAAGCUGAGGCAGAGUCAGGGCUGACUGUCUGCCACCUGCAUUGCAGCCUUUAGACUGCCCCAAGAAGACUAUGCAGGACUUGUCCAGAACUGUGAGGAG
rnacentral:lncRNA from 14 species